UUUACUUGGCUGCCUGGAAAUCAUAUUUCUGGAACGGAAUUGUGCCUCACUUCCUGUUUAUGUGUCUUUGUAGCAGCGACGGAAUGGAAAUUCAAUUCUUCCAGUAUCUCUGUUGUAGCUAGCUGGUAUGCAAUGAAAUGUAGCUUGCUACUGAAGUUUAAUUGGCUAGCUUUAAGCCAUAGAAAAGAUUUGGGCUAUGUUAUAUAAAUGGAAAUAUGUUUUCUACUUUAUUAUGUAUGUAAACACAUAGGUCGACAAGAUGGAGCCAUGAAGGACAGACAGCAUGGUUGUUCAGGAGAGUGUUUUAAAACCGUCACUGUUGAUUGGCCAGACAGCAACUGUACCACUGAAGAACGUUAGCAAGUUAGCGAGCUAGCUAAGUGUGCUGAGACUUGCGUUACAUCGACGGACUUCCAUCGCCUGUUCCAAUACGGUUCGUGAGUGUACUGUAAAAACUUGCCAUAACACAAGGACUGGGUCAGAUAUAAUGUUUCACCAACUUCCAUUGAGAGAUCCGGACCGAUUGAGACUAUGGCUAGUUGCCCUGAACAUUGACGCCAAUACUCCGCCUGACGACCUCAGAAAGUUACUAGUAUGCUCAGAACAUUUUCCCCGGGGACUAUUAUGAGAGAAUGGAACUGUCAAGAAGUAAGAUUAAAAGUUAUGUCCCAUCAGUGGGCAUUCUAUGCACAACAUGUAGGCAAGCCAUAGGAAAUCUUUGGCGAAGUCAUAUAAACGGACAUAUGUUUCCUAAUUCCUUAUUAUUGUGUUAAGAGGGAGCCAUGAAGGACAGAUAUCAUGGUUGGUCAGGAGAGGGUAUUAACACAGUCACUGUUGAUAGGCCAGAAGGCAGCAGUGCCACUGAAGAAUGUUGUCCGUCCAUUGAGGAGGACCAGUGCGUGAACAUUCAGCCCAGAAGCUCAGAUGAGUCGAACCACGGAGAACAGGUUAUGAUGCUGCUGUAUGAGAUAGGUUUCAGCAUGCAUAUGAAGUCAAACACACUUCAUCAUGUAGCCAGUAACACUGAUCUCUGUUUUCAUUUGAAUUAGGUGAGUGAAGUGUCAGUGGUCCUUCCGUGUGAAUACAGAAACAUAGACGACAGUUGUUCCCUGAGGAUGGAAAGGAAUGGGUCUGUGAAGCAGGAGAAGUGUUGCCUCCUAUAGCGAGGAAGAGAAGAAGCUGUUGGCUGCCAUGGUGUUUGAGAAGGGGGAACUGGGGCUGACUGGCUCUCUGGUGAUGGAGGUGACUGAGGAUCCACAGGACAGUGAUGCAGACACUGCACCCAACAGGGAGGAAAGGGCUCUGCACCUAGAGGAGGAGCAAGGAGAUGAGAGACAGACAGAUGAAGGGACUGCCCAGCAGAGAGGAGCGGCAGGCUAAUGCUGAGUGGGAACCCUCAGUGGAGCCGGAGGUGACUUUAGAUUCUGUUUGUGUGUUUGUGUGUGUGUGUGUGUGUGUGUGUGUGUGUGUGUGUGUGUGUGUGUGUGUGAUGGAGCGCGAGAGAGACGGCGCGAGCGAGCCUACACUCCACGCCGACACAAGAAGCUGUGUGUGUGAUGGCCAGCCUGAGGAGCCUGUUGGGUUUGACAAACUCUGCAUGCGGUUUAAUGACCUCGGCAGUUAUGAGGAGCACGUCCGUCAAGAGCACUCCAAAAGUUCACGGCCUCUCUGUCCUGACUGUGGCAUCCUCAUCUCAACGUUACUCAGUGUGGGGCAUCAGUGUGAACAAGUUCAAGCUGUUCUGUCUGUGGGAAGCGCUGUGUGGAUGAAGCUGGCCUCAAGCAUCACCAGAGGCUUCACCAUCAAGAGCAUGUCUACUGUAAGUUCUGCCUCAAGCCAUUCAAGGCCAGGGAAGACAAGCGGACACACGAGAAGGACGACCACCAGGUCAAAAAGUUGCACUAUAGGUGCUCCAAAUGCCCCAUGGGAUUUUACAACAUCUUGAAACGGAACCACCAUCUCAGAGAGCAUGAGUCCAAGAGACAUUUGUAACAUGUGCUACAAGGAAUUUCCCCAACUUAGCAAGCUUGAGAGGCACGAGCUGAGCCACAGUGACAACAAAUCCUUCAGGUGUCAGGUGUGCCAGCGUUCCUUUGCCCAGCUCAGCCAGCUGAAGUCUUACCUGCACGUCCACACUGGGGAGAAGCCCUUCAAAUGCCAGCGCUGCGUCUAGAGCUUUAACCACAACGUCAGCCUCAAGAACCUCGUCACACGCUAUCACCAAGGGGAGAGUGGGGAGGGAGUGGAGGUGGGAGAGCGGAGGAGCAGGCGACAGAGGAAUCGACAGUUGAACUAUGAUCCUGAGGAGGAGGAGCGUCAGAAUGAGAGUGAUUCUGACUUUGACCUGGAGGAAGAGGAGAAGACGAGGAGUAAAGGGAAAGGUAGUGGAGGAGGGGGGGCACUGGUAGAAGCCUCUAGGAGAGAUACAUGUGCACACUGCUGUUGAAAAGCUGGACACAUUACCAUCACCACCCCAGAGAGAACCAGACCAGAACAAGGAGCCACCUACCGGUGUCAUUAAAAAAAGUCUUAUCGGUUUUGUCAUGACCAUAAUGUUUUGGCUUUGAACAUUUCUUAGAACUCUUCAGGCUGUUGUUUUUUCACUUCUACAGUUUUGGUUUAAAAAUAUCUAUUGUUAAAGAAAAUGUGUUUCACUGUUCUACAUCAUCAAAUAUCCAUGAAAAAUCUGAUGGGUUUGUAAAGUGAAUGUUACAAAGAAUUUCCUCCCCACAGAUGUUAUUGGCUGAUAUAUUGCAUUUUGAGUUCUCCUGGUUGGACCGACCCACAAGUUAAGAAGCACAGAGAUAAACCCAUCUUGGAUAUAACCAGCGAGGAAACAAGAGGCUUGACUCCGCUCUAAAGUCUGUCAGUGCGAAAGUACAGUGUUAACCAGUGGAAUUGGGGAUUUUUUUUAUGGAGGUCAAUGAGAGAAUGUCGAAUUUGGUCAACAGUUUAAUAAAGGUUACAUAAAAAUAAAUAAAAAAACCAUAAAAUUAAAAUGUCUAAUUUGCUACAAUGUUUAAUUUGAUCGAAUUUAAGUUUCAUUAUGUUUAUGUCGAUAAGAAUUUACUGAUAAGUGGGCGCAUGUGGCAUUUUGGAAACUUGGAGAAAAACAAUUUUAUAAUGGAGUUGUGCUUGUUGUUCUCACACAUAUCUGCCCUCUCAUUGGCUAGAAUGUUUAUUUAGUCAUUUAUUUUACCCCCAGUCCAGUUGAGGGCGACACUACACCUUUUGAUUGUAGUUCGCCAUAAAACCCAAAUAAGAAUACCUCGCUCUUGCUCUGUGCCUACAUUCCCGCACAGUAGGUGGCGGCAUGCACUUAAACGAUUGUUUGCGGAGCGCCUUGACAUAGAAGAAGACUCAGCUGAGUCACAGCGAAAAAGGGAUUAGUUAUAAAUAUCUUUGAAUGAGUCCUUUUACUAUCCCUAGAUUUAGACGUCUGUCAACAUGGCUGACUCCCAGAAGCAUCCGUUAAUUUUAUACCUCAGUAAUCAUGCACCACCAGAGAGCGCUUUAAAACCUAAAAUGAUUCGACCAACAGCCAAGAAGCAGGACGACAAGUCCCGUGGACAGACCCGAGUAAAUUUAGGUGUUGCGUUUUUACGAUGGCGCGUAGAAUUCUCUCUUCGCGCACACACAUCUUCAUUGCAGCGACUUACUUGCUAGUUGAGAUUUCUGCUCUUCACUCCGUUGUCAGUUUAGCCUACAUUUCGCUGAUUGUAGUAGCAGUAGCAUUUUUUAUUUGUCAUUCUAUGCAUGUGUGUAGAUGUAACCGAUGUGAAAUGGCUAGUUAGUUAGCGGUGGUGCGUUUCAAUCAGUGACGUCACUCGCUCUGAGACUUGAAGUAGGGUUUCCCCUUGCAUUGCAAGGGCCGUGGCAUUUGUGGCGCGAUGGGUAACGAUGCUUCGUGGGGUGUCAGUUGGUGAUGUGUGCAAGGGUCCCUGGUUCGAGCCCGGGUUGGGGCGAAGAGAGGGACGGAACCUACACUGUGUAACCGAUGUGAAAUGGCUAGUUAGUUAGCGGUUGUGCGCGCUAAUAGCAUUUCAAUCAGUGACGUCACUUGCUCUGAGACUUGAAGUAGGGUUUCCCCUUGCGUUGCAAGGGCCGCGGCUUUUGUGGCUUCGUGGGGUGUCAGUGCAAGGGUCCCUGGUUCGAGCCCAGGUUGGGGCGAAGAGAGGGACGGAACCUACACUGUUACAUAGAGAAGAUCGGCAUUGUUUUCAACCAGUGGGAUAGGUAGGCUACCGGACACCACUUUUAUUAUUAAGCCAUCAUUUCUGAAUGAAAUUUGGUACUGACAAAACCUAUUUGUAUAAAAUCAUUUUAUAAUAUACAGACAAUGCAUCAUCCAAAUUGCAUGAAUGCCUAUACCUACACAUACUGUAAGUGACUAAAUGAAAAUUAUCUAUUUUUGAAUUCGUAAAACACCAAAUUAGGCCUACCGUAUUAUAAAUUAUGCUAUCAUCACUGGUAAUCGUGAGUGACAAUUCGACACGUUUUACAGGUCAAACGUCCAUGUUGCCUGCAUACCAACCAUUUGAUCCCAAUCACUUUCAUGGGAAUAUGCAUUUCGAUCUUCUUGAAUGAUGUAAGUGUGCCCUUCCUGGUCCCGUCCCUAAAGUCAGUGAGUCAACACAGGAAACAUUAAUGGAUGGAUAGUUCAUUUAUUUCCAAAACUGCAAUCAUGGGACACAAACAGUAUGGAUGAAUGAGGAGUUGUGACGGGAUAUAAAUAGCACUCCCACAGCAAUGCUCCAUAAUUCGGCUGUAUAAUAUACUAACAAAAUAACAAUUGAAAUGUCUAUCAAAGUUAUUGGGAUCGUAUACUGGAUUUAACAAUUUCUAAUUUGGGUGAUUCUGCAACUACGGUCACUUCCAUGUCCUCGGGUCAAUUUUGGGGAUUUUAUAAAAAAAUAUUUGUAUGUUAAGUGGAAUCACCCCAUACUUUUUUAAAACACCUCUAUCAAAUAUUUUAGCUACUUUUCAGAUGCAUUUUAUACCUCAAUUUCACUUUUUUGCCCUUGUCCUUGACACAGACUUAAGCUUCUAUUAUGUUUUUCUAUGAGAAAACAAUAAUUACACAUUAUAUAAUGUUAUGUACUAAAGAAAAAGUCAAUUAAAUAAAAUCUAUAUCAAUAUUUA